CUCCUUCCAGUGCCCGGCGUUCCUCCCUUCCCCCUCGCCGCCGACCGAGUUCUUCCUUUUCAGACCGGGUCGCCUUGCUGUCGUCGCGGUGAUUUUCCUGCUACUGCUACUGCUGCUGCUGCCACCGCCACUACCACUGGGCUCAUUUGCCCCGACCCCUUCCCGCCGCCCCGCCCCCAGCCCCACACAAGAUGUCAGAGGAUUUAGCAAAGCAGCUGGCAAGCUACAAAGCUCAGCUCCAGCAAGUUGAAGCUGCAUUAUCUGGAAAUGGAGAAAAUGAAGAUUUGCUAAAAUUGAAGAAAGAUUUACAAUGGCUCUCUGCAUCCCCGAAACGCCUUCCUUCAGUAAGCAGAGUGCUUGAGUGCACCCCAUUUGACCUGCUGAUAUGUAGAUCACAACACCUGAUGCUUCCUGGAAUUGCCGAUUACUGUAACUGCUGCCCAUCUGUCGAUGAAGGAGCAGUUUCAGAACUCAGACUUGAGGGAGGAAAAGUAAUUAAUGUUUUUGUUUUUCUUUUUUAGGAAGUUAUAGAACUAACCAAAGACCUUCUGUCAACUCAACCUUCUGAGACGCUUGCAAGUUCAGACAGUUUUGCUUCUACUCAACCUACUCAUUCAUGGAAAGUAGGAGACAAGUGUAUGGCAGUCUGGAGUGAAGAUGGACAGUGUUAUGAAGCGGAGAUUGAGGAGAUAGAUGAAGAAAAUGGCACCGCUGCAAUCACCUUUGCUGGUUAUGGCAAUGCUGAAGUGACUCCACUGUUGAACCUCAAGCCUGUAGAAGAAGGAAGGAAGGCAAAGGAGGACAGUGGCAACAAACCCAUGUC
rnacentral:lncRNA from 1 species